AACCUCCGCAAUGUGAGAAAUCGCGACGGGGGGAUCCCAAGUGCCAUUCUUAACGGGAUGGCUUUUCAUUAGUGUAAAGAGCUUUUGGAAUAAGAGCUGGGCAAGACCGGUGCCAGCCGCCGCGGUAACACCGGCAGCUCUAGUGGUAGCAACUUUUAUUGGGCCUAAAGCGUCCGUAGCCGGUUUAAUAAGUCUCUGGUGAAAUCCUGUAGCUUAACUGUGGGAAUUGCUGGAGAUACUAUUAGACUUGAGACCGGGAGAGGUUAGAGGUACUCCCAGGGUAGAGGUGAAAUUCUGUAAUCCUGGGAGGACCGCCUGUUGCGAAGGCGUCUAACUGGAACGGUUCUGACGGUGAGGGACGAAAGUUAGGGGCGCGAACCGGAUUAGAUACCCGGGUAGUCCUAACUGUAAACGAUGCGGACUUGGUGUUGGGGUGGCUUUGAGCUGUCCCAGUGCCGAAGGGAAGCUGUUAAGUCCGCCGCCUGGGAAGUACGGUCGCAAGACUGAAACUUAAAGGAAUU
rnacentral:rRNA from 1 species